rnacentral:rRNA from 3 species
AAUCCAUAGGUUAAUGAGGCGAACCGGGGGAACUGAAACAUCUAAGUACCCCGAGGAAAAGAAAUCAACCGAGAUUCCCCCAGUAGCGGCGAGCGAACGGGGAGGAGCCCAGAGCCUGAAUCAGCAUGUGUGUUAGUGGAAGCGUCUGGAAAGGCGCGCGAUACAGGGUGACAGCCCCGUACACAAAAGCGCAUGUGCUGUGAGCUCGAUGAGUAGGGCGGGACACGUGGUAUCCUGUCUGAAUAUGGGGGGACCAUCCUCCAAGGCUAAAUACUCCUGACUGACCGAUAGUGAACCAGUACCGUGAGGGAAAGGCGAAAAGAACCCCGGCGAGGGGAGUGAAAAAGAACCUGAAACCGUGUACGUACAAGCAGUGGGAGCCCCACCACCAAAGCAUUUGCUGUACCGCGUUGACGGAGCGAAGCGACGUCAAACCGAUAAAACAGCAGUGUAAAGUGAGCCGCAGGGCGCUUUGCGCGACAGCGCAAAGGCAGGCGGUUUCGCGUAGCGAAAGCGAAUGC